GAUGAACGCUAGCGGCAGGCCUAACACAUGCAAGUCGAGGGGCAUCGCGGUGCAGCAAUGCACUGGCGGCGACCGGCGUACGGGUGCGUAACGCGUAUGCAACCUGCCCCGCACCGGGGGAUAGCCCGCCGAAAGGCGGAUUAAUACCCCAUGGUCCCGGGGGCCCGCAUGGGCAUCCGGGUAAAGCCUUGGCGGUGCGGGAUGGGCAUGCGUGCCAUUAGCUGGCUGGUGGGGUAACGGCCCACCAGGGCAACGAUGGCUAGGGGGUCUGAGAGGAUGGUCCCCCACACUGGUACUGAGACACGGACCAGACUCCUACGGGAGGCAGCAGUGAGGAAUAUUGGUCAAUGGGCGGAAGCCUGAACCAGCCAUGCCGCGUGCGGGAUGAAGGCCCUACGGGUUGUAAACCGCUUUUCCCCGGGAAGAAUAACCCCGAUGAGUCGGGGAUGCCGGUACCGGGGAUAAGGAUCGGCUAACUCCGUG
rnacentral:rRNA from 1 species